GAUGAAGAACGUAGCGAAAUGCGAUACUUGGUGUGAAUUGCAGAAUCCCGUGAACCAUCGAGUCUUUGAACGCAAGUUGCGCCCGAAGCCAUUAGGCCGAGGGCACGCCUGCCUGGGCGUCACACGUCGUUGCCCCCCCCAUCUACUCCUUCGGGAUUGCGGGGGGCGGAUGAUGGCCUCCCGUGUGCCUCGCCGCGCGGUUGGCAUAAAUGCCAAGUCCUCGGCGACGCACGCCACGACAAUCGGUGGUUGCGAAACCUCGGUUGCCCGUCGUGUGCGGUCGUCGCGCAUCGAGGGCUCGAAAAAAUUGCCGGGUUCCGGCUCGGCUUUCAACGCGACCCCAGGUCAGGCGGGGUUACCCGCUGAAUUUAAGCAUAUCAAUAAGCGGAGG
rnacentral:misc_RNA from 1 species